AAGACUAUAGACCUGCGGAGUACCUGCGGAGGGAUCAUUACCGAGUGAGGGUUCCCUCGUGGGCCCAACCUCCCACCCGUGUCUAUCGUACCUCUGUUGCUUCGGCGCGGCCAAAGUGCCCGCCGAAGACCCCUCUCGAACGCUGUCUUUUGAAGGAUUGCAGUCUGAGUUGAUUUGAAAAAUCAGUCAAAACUUUUAGCAAUGGAUCUCU
rnacentral:misc_RNA from 1 species